CCUACGGGUGGCAGCAGUGGGGAAUAUUGCACAAUGGGCGCAAGCCUGAUGCAGCCAUGCCGCGUGUAUGAAGAAGGCCUUCGGGUUGUAAAGUACUUUCAGCGGGGCAGAAGGGAGUAAUGCUAAUACCCUUGCUCAUUGACGUUACCCGCAGAAGAAGCACUGGCUCACUCCGUGCCAGCAGCCGAGUUAAUACGGAGGGUGCAAGCGUUAAUCGGAAUUACUGGGCGUAAAGCGCACGCAGGCGGGUUGUUAAGGCAGAUGUGAAAUCCCCGGGCUCAACCUGGGAACUGCAUCUGAUACUGGCAAGCUUGAGUCUCGUAGAGGGGAGUAGAAUUCCAGGUGUAGCGGUGAAAUGCGUAGAGAUCAGGAGGAACACCGGUGGCGAAGGCGGCCCCCUGGACGAAGACUGACGCUGAGGUGCGAAAGCGUGGGGAGCAAACAGGAUUAGAUACCCCUGUAGUC
rnacentral:rRNA from 1 species